UUUGCCUUCGUCUUCAUUGAUGUAAUCUUAAGAGUUGCAAGCAAUGCAGGUCCUCCUCUUCCUUUUCAGUCUUCCAAACACUUCCUUCCUUCAUGGAAUUCCGGACUCUGAGUCAAGCGAGGAAGAGGAUUCGACUCGGCUGCAAGAGAUGACACUGAAGGGUGAUUCAAUCAGGUAAAAAAAAAACUAUUAGUAGGCUGAAUACAGCUCAAAGUAAAUGUGAUUCCCUAUGUCAAUAUACACCACCCUCGUCCUCAAAUAGCUAGCUAAAUUAGGGCUGCAUAGUGGCUUGAGUCUUAAUCUGCGUCAUUCCGCUUCACUCACGAACCGACUUUAGGUCAAGGGAACGAAUUUCUCGUCAAGAAAACACGAGAAUCAAACGAUCGUCUGAUCACGCAGACAUCAACAAAAACGAUUAACGUCAGUCUUUGUGACAGGACAUCAUGCAUCUUGCAAGCAUUGAAGAAGGCUGGCUAACCAUGAUUCAAAAUUAAACUGUUCGUUGUCUGGCAGGGUGUGAGUGACGCAGAUGUGACAGAUCUGGGAAAACCAGAUUGCACCACUCCAAACAGUUGGGGACUAACUGAAAUACAGUACACCCAUUACGAAAAUGGCUCAUAUCACUUUUACGUAUAAAGGCGAAUAAUGGAAAUCAAUGAGGUCUGCGUUAUUGGCGAAAGUGAAUGGAAGCCAAGUCAGUGACCCAUAGUCGCUGAUCAGUCCAGAACACAUUUAGUUGAAGCGAUGAGGAUAUGGACCUUUAACCUGCUUCAUCCUAGCCAAAAGAUCUAACAAAGGAGAGCCGUGGAAUGAUUACUACUGUCAUAUUUCUUGAGCCUCAGGUGGGCCGGGACUAGGUCUUUCAAACCAGCUUUACCAGGCCAACUAUAAGCUCAAUAAAAAAGGUUGAUUCAACCGCUGUUUAGCCGUGUUUGAAGCCUCGUUAACGAUUUCCAAAGGUGUUCAACAACUCAUCGGUGAGAGGCAGGACAACUGCGAUUCAAGUGAGCUAUGGUCAACCUGCGAGCAUCGAAUUUUGAGCCGGACCCAGCUCAACCAACCGUGAGCUACCAGUUGGGCAACAGGCCCACAAUAUGCCGCUUGCGUAACUAGCGAGUGGGACUCAUGACUCGCCCCAGCACCCUCCAACAAGGAACCUCUGGAUUGGCCCACUGAUGGCUCAUCCCCCAAUCUGAUAUCUGAUCCAGCGGUCCGGACUGGGAUUAGUCACUGGCUCCAGUCAUCGCCUUCUUCGCCCUCUUCGCCUUCAUGAGCUCAUGGGUCUCAAUCAGACCCAUCCAUUUGGCCAUUUUGAUGCUUCAUGCUAGUCACUAAAGGGCCCUUACGAUCCCCUUGAUCGCGGGUGGAUCAAAACGAAUUGGCUGUUCAUUAGACCAUGGGUCGUCCCAUGAAGUGAACCAUCAAGCAAGCACAACACCCCUUUCCAGUCCCAAGCCAGUCAGAUGAUGAUACAGGCUCUACCGCCCGUAACGUCAUGGCUUCCAUGUUUGACCACCAACCCCAGAGCCGUGGUCCAGUCCGACUCGGUUGGCACUGCCUGGCUCACGGGUCAACCUUGACCCCAGUGGCCUCGACGACCUUCAAUGGGGUCGAUCUUAGCCCAACGGCCUCACUCACCCCCCGCACAUGCUGCUUAGGCUCGGUCAACCUGAUCAACCGCGAACAUGGAUACCCGACUCGAUCGAUGGAGGGGCCUCGGGGAUGGAAGAAGACUCGCUUUUUAUUAUGAUGCUUGUGGUUUUUCUGUCUCUCAGGGUCUCGUCCUUCCAUAGCCCCACCGUACUCACAGUACUCACUCACACUCUCUCAGAGUCUGAGUUCUUUCGUUUAGUUCUGGCUCACACACACACACAAAUACACACAGACCCACUGA